rfam:Roseburia sp. 831b contig000002, whole genome shotgun sequence.
GGGCUAGUAAAGGUUUCGACGGGGGAUCUGCAGCUGGAGAAGCGAGUCGUAUGGUAAUGCGUCAAAUGGCCAAACUAAAAUUAAACGCUGAAGAUAAUUUAGCAUACGCUGCCUAAUGGCAGCAGUCGGCUCUAAAGCACUCACACUUUAGAAUCCCGGCUUCGACCAUGUGAGAAACGACACUGUCAAAGCUUUGAGGCAGUGGGCGUAUUAUGAAGCUACUAAAACGUCUAGGGUGUUUGUUCCCGAGGCGCAGAGGGAAUGUCAAAGAAUAAACUACACUCGUAGAAGGACAGGGAAUUUUCCUUCGGACACGGGUUCGACUCCCGUCUAGUCCACUU